rnacentral:rRNA from 1 species
UACAGAGGGUGCGAGCGUUAAUCGGAAUUACUGGGCGUAAAGGGCGCGUAGGUGGUUAAUUAAGUCAGAUGUGAAAUCCCCGGGCUUAACCUGGGAAUUGCAUUUGAAACUGGUUAGCUAGAGUAUGGGAGAGGGAAGUGGAAUUUCCGGUGUAGCGGUGAAAUGCGUAGAUAUCGGAAGGAACACCAGUGGCGAAGGCGACUUCCUGGCCCAUUACUGACACUGAGGCGCGAAAGCGUGGGGAGCGAACAGG